AUUGAACGCUGGCGGCAGGCCUAACACAUGCAAGUCGAGCGAGCGGCGGACGGGUGAGUAAUGUAUGGGGACUGCCCGAUAGAGGGGGAUAACUACUGGAAACGGUGGCUAAUACCGCAUACUAUCGGAUUACCCAUAUGGGAUUAGCUAGUAGGUGGGGUAAAGGCUCACCUAGGCGACGAUCUCUAGCUGGUCUGAGAGGAUGGUCCGGCACACUGGGACUGAGACACGGCCCCGAAUCCUACGGAGGCAGCAAUGGGGGAUAUUGCACAAUGGGGGCAAGCCUUACCGAGCAACGCCGGGUGAGUGGAGAAGGGUUUCGGGUCGGAAAGCUCUGUUGUUAAGGAAGCGGUACUUAACCAGAAAGGGACGGCUAACUACGUGCCAGCAGCCGCGGUAAUAC
rnacentral:rRNA from 1 species